GACGAACGCUGGCGGCGUGCUUAACACAUGCAAGUCGAACGGAAAGGCCCGGCUUUUGGGGGGUGCUCGAGUGGCGAACGGGUGAGUAACACGUGAGUAACCUGCCCUUGACUUUGGGAUAACUUAAGGAAACUGGGGCUAAUACCGGAUAGGAGCUACUGCUGCAGGGUGGGGGUGGGAAAGUUUCGGCGGUUGGGGCUGGACUCGCGGCUUAUCAGCAUGUUGGUGGGGUAGUGGCUGAGCAAGGCUUUGAAGGGUAGCCGGCCUGGGAGGGGGACCGGCCACAGUGGGACUGAGAUACGGCCCAGACUCCUACGGGAGGCAGCAGUGGGGAAUAGUGCACAAUGGGCGGAAGCCUGAUGCAGCAACGCCGCGUGCGGGAUGACGGCCUUCGGGUUGUAAACCGCUUUCGCCUGUGACGAAGCGUGAGUGACGGUAAUGGGUAAAGAAGCACCGGCUAACUACGUG
rnacentral:rRNA from 1 species